rnacentral:misc_RNA from 1 species
AACGCAAAUUGCACUUUCUGGUAUUCCGGAGAGUAUGCCUGUUUGAGGGUCGAUAUAAAUAAUAUUCGAAGAGUUGCUUUUUUGUGACAUUUUUCGGAUUUGGGUUAUCUUAAUUCCCUAAGUGUGGUUUUAAGAGGCCUGAAAUUGACUUACUUGCGCAUCAUAGACGUGUAAUUUUUUAUGUCGUCUUCUGAUGUCAGGUUUUAUUAGGUGUGGUCAUGUCUCUGAAUUCGCGCCUAUAAAUUCAUUUUUUGACCUCAAAUCAGGUAGGAUUACCCGCUGAACUUAA